CGGAGGUGCAAGCGUUAUCCGGAUUCACUGGGUUUAAAGGGUGCGUAGGAGGGUGAGUAAGUCAGUGGUGAAAUCUUCGAGCUUAACUCGGAAACUGCCGUUGAUACUACUUGUCUUGAAUAUCGUGGAGGUGAGCGGAAUAUGCCAUGUAGCGGUGAAAUGCUUAGAUAUGACAUAGAACACCAAUUGCGAAGGCAGCUCGCUACACGAAUAUUGACUCUGAGGCACGAAAGCGUGGGAUCAAACAGGAUU
rnacentral:rRNA from 1 species